UACAGAGGGUGCAAGCGUUACUCGGAAUUACUGGGCGUAAAGCGUGCGUAGACGGUUCUGUAAGUCAGGUGUGAAAGCCCAGGGCUCAACCUUGGAAUUGCAUUUGAUACUGCAUAGCUAGGGUGCGGAAGAGGGAAGCGGAAUUUCCGGUGUAGCGGUGAAAUGCGUAGAUAUCGGAAGGAACACCAGUGGCGAAAGCGGCUUCCUGGUCCAGCACCGACGUUCAGGCACGAAAGCGUGGGGAGCAAACAGG
rnacentral:rRNA from 1 species